CACAAUGAGCGAAAGCUUGAUGCAGCAACGCCGCGUGCGCGAUGACGGCCUUCGGGUUGUAAAGCGCUUUUCGGGGAGAUGAGGAAGGACAGUAUCCCCGGAAUGAGUCUCGGCUAACUACGUGCCAGCAGCCGCGGUAACACGCAGGAGGCAAGCGUUAUCCGAAUUUACUGGGCGUAAAGCGCGUGCAGGCGGUUCGGUAAGUUGGAUGUGAAAUCUCCCGGCUCAACUAGGCUUGGACGUUCAAUACUGUCGGACUUGAGGACGAUAGAGGGAGGUGGAAUUCCCGGUGUAGUGGUGAAAUGCGUAGAUAUCGGGAGGAACUCCAGUGGCGAAAGCGGCCUCCUGGUUCUUUCCUGACGCUCAGACGCGAAAGCUAGGGGAGCGAACGG
rnacentral:rRNA from 1 species